GAUGCCAUAGGCCCAAUUCUAUUUCCAGGUUAUUCUUUGCUUCCAGGGCAGCGCCAGCCAAGUCAUGUCCCACAUGAAGUCCUACCACUGCCACUGGUCAUCCUUGCUGCUGCUCAUCACCAGCUUCUAACCAAGCUGCUCCUCCAAGAAGCCCACCAUCUUGGCCCACCACAACCCCAACGCACAAGCAGAAUAUUAUCUUAAUGGUGGCGCUCCAUGGUUUCUUCAGCUGUGGAAGAGUGAAGGACAAAUUUCAUCUAAAGCACUACUCACACUGUACUUACUGCACAAAAGAGGCCAAAUUGGCAUGGCUUUCGACUAUCUCUGCAAAAUCCAUUUGGAUCCAUUUCUGCAACUGUGAUCUACUAUCAACCUGGGGGGCAAAGGAGAAAUCAGCCCCAGGAGCGUGGAAACCACUAUACUUAAAACUAUAUCCUUUGCUUAUUUAUUUCAAGUAAAAGGCCACACAGACACAGAAAAUUAGAAGGCUCGUGAAAUAAGAUUUAAGUUCCAUUCUGGUUACAGGGUCCUCCCUGAUGUUCAAUCCUAGAGGCUAUACCUCCCACUCUUGAAGAAUUUCCAAACCUUCCAGGCCCAGGAGAGUUUUCCAUGUUGAAAGAUUGCAGGAUGGGACCCCAUAACAAUCCCCCAAAAGUUCAGGCUGAAAUUACAUGCAGGCCAAGUCUGUAUGAUGCAGCCCUCUGUAAUUGUUGGGUCUCUUCCAGAAGGCUCUCAACACAUGGGACUCCGAUGAAGUUCAGCAUGUGGAAAGGGCUGAAGCUUGAAGCCUGUGUAUUUGUAAUGGAAACACAGCAGUGACCCCAUGAUCCAGUGCCUUGUGAAGAAGAUGCAUGCUUCCCUUUCUGCCAUGAUUGAAAGUUUCCUGAGGCCUCCCCAGCCUUGCAGAACUGAAAAAGAAGAAUUCUUUAAUUGAAAAAUAGGCAAAGAAUACAAAGAGGCAAAUUACAAAAGGAAAAUAAAC
rnacentral:lncRNA from 1 species